UCCCCGGUGGUCCAGGGGUUAGGAGUCUGCUUUUUCACUGCAGAGGGCCCAGGUUCAAUCCCUGGUCAGGGAA
rfam:Ovis aries breed Texel chromosome 3, whole genome shotgun sequence.